rnacentral:rRNA from 1 species
GAUGAACGCUGGCGGCGUGCUUAACACAUGCAAGUCGAACGAUGAAGCCCAGCUUGCUGGGUGGAUUAGUGGCGAACGGGUGAGUAACACGUGAGUAACCUGCCCUUGACUCUAGGAUAAGCCCGGGAAACUGGGUCUAAUACUGGAUAGGAACGUCUACCGCAUGGUAGGUGUUGGAAAGAAUUUCGGUCAUGGAUGGACUCGCGGCCUAUCAGCUUGUUGGUGAGGUAAUGGCUCACCAAGGCGACGACGGGUAGCCGGCCUGAGAGGGUGACCGGCCACACUGGGACUGAGACACGGCCCAGACUCCUACGGGAGGCAGCAGUGGGGAAUAUUGCACAAUGGGCGAAAGCCUGAUGCAGCGACGCCGCGUGAGGGAUGACGGCCUUCGGGUUGUAAACCUCUUUCAGUAGGGAAGAAGCGAAAGUGACGGUACCUGCAGAAGAAGCACCGGCUAACUACGUG